rnacentral:misc_RNA from 1 species
GAAAUGCGAUAAGUAGUGUGAAUUGCAGAAUUCAGUGAAUCAUCGAAUCUUUGAACGCACAUUGCGCCCUUUGGUAUUCCAAAGGGCAUGCCUGUUCGAGCGUCAUUUGUACCCUCAAGCUUUGCUUGGUGUUGGGCGUCUUGUCUCUAGUUCGCUGGGGACUCGCCUUAAAGUUAUUGGCAGCCGGCCUACUGGUUUCGGAGCGCAGCACAAGUCGCGCUCUCUUCCAGCCAAGGUCAGCAUCCACAAAGCCUUUUUUCAACUUUUGACCUCGGAUCAGGUAGGGAUACCCGCUGAACUUAAGC